GUCGACCGGUAGAGAGAAGCUUGCUUCUCUUGAGAGCGGCGGACGGGUGAGUAAAGCCUAGGAAUCUGCCUGGUAGUGGGGGAUAACGUUCGGAAACGGACGCUAAUACCGCAUACGUCCUACGGGAGAAAGCAGGGGACCUUCGGGCCUUGCGCUAUCAGAUGAGCCUAGGUCGGAUUAGCUAGUUGGUGAGGUAAAGGCUCACCAAGGCGACGAUCCGUAACUGGUCUGAGAGGAUGAUCAGUCACACUGGAACUGAGACACGGUCCAGACUCCUACGGGAGGCAGCAGUGGGGAAUAUUGGACAAUGGGCGAAAGCCUGAUCCAGCCAUGCCGCGUGUGUGAA
rnacentral:rRNA from 1 species